rnacentral:rRNA from 1 species
GACGAACGCUGGCGGCGUACCUAAUACAUGCAAGUCGAGCGGACUUUCAAGAAGCUUGCUUUUUGAAAGUUAGCGGCGGACGGGUGAGUAACACGUGGGCAACCUGCCUGUAAGACGGGGAUAACUCCGGGAAACCGGGGCUAAUACCGGAUAAUAUCUUUCUUCGCAUGAAGGAAGGCUGAAAGGCGGCGCAAGCUGCCGCUUGCAGAUGGGCCCGCGGCUCAUUAGCUAGUUGGUGAGGUAACGGCUCACCAAGGCGACGAUGCGUAGCCGACCCGGGAGGGUGAUCGGCGACACUGGGACUGAGACACGGCCCAGACUACUACGGGAGGCAGCAGUAGGGAAUCUUCCGCAAUGGACGAAAGUCUGACGGAGCAACGCCGCGUGAGCGUAGAAGGUCUUCGGAUCGUAAAGCUCUGUUGUCAGGGAAGAACAAGUACCGUUCGAAUAGGGCGGUACCUUGACGGUACCUGACCAGAAAGCCACGGCUAACUACGUGCCAGCAGCCGCCGUAA